rnacentral:rRNA from 1 species
UACUCCUACGGGAGGCAGCAGUGGGGAAUAUUGGACAAUGGGCCACAAGCCUGAUCCAGCAAUUCUGUGUGCACGAUGACGGUCUUCGGAUUGUAAAGUGCUUUCAGUUGGGAAGAAGAAAGUGACGGUACCAACAGAAGAAGCGACGGCUAAAUACGUGCCAGCAGCCGCGGUAAU